UGAAUGUCAGAGCUGUAAAGAUCGUGACCUUCAGAAACACACCAUCUUUUUUUAAAAGGAAGCGAGCCCUCGUGAGUCAGGCACGCUGCCCCCAGCAGCGGGCUUGAAGGCUCAAGCUGCACGAGGGCAGGCAGGAGCUGCUCUCUUCUCACUGACCGUUUGCCACGACAUGAGAAUGAACAUCGUGCAACCAGCGACCUACAGCUACAGCUCUGUUCUCCGCAGCAUCCCCGCCUUGAGCAGUGCCAGUGGCACAGCAAAGCCGGGCAAACCAAGAGGGGCAGGGACCAGCUGCAGGGAGGUGCAGGGAGGCAGCACGGAAGUUCACCCACCUUCAGCUUUCAUCCUGUUGCCAGAGCUGGCAGCUGUUAUCCUGGUUGCCAAUCUUCCUGUCCAGCUGUACAUCCUCCAGCCUGAAAACAUCUUCUUCAGCCUCUCAAGUAAUAUACCUGGCACAGCUGAAGAAAGAGGAAGUAUCUACACUGUACUGGCACCACUACUGACCUUAUCAUAUGUGGAAUAGAUGGCACAGGAUCAGGAGAACAGAAACAGAUCCAUAGUCUCUUGGUGGAGAUGAUUUUGCAGGGCUGUGAUCCAAGCCAGAAGGCUGAGCAGGAGUCCACUUUCCAUGCACAAGCUACCACCGCAGAAAUGAUGUGCAAAAUGGCUCUUUUACUCUUCACUCAAGGCUUUUAAGGACAUUUGCAGACCUUGUACGCAGUGGGAAAGAGGCAGAGGAGGAGAGUGACUGGGCAGCCCUCCCUUCUUUCCAAGUGGAAGCGGCCUAGCAGGCUGUUUUUAUCUCCAGGACUCUUCCUGAAGGAUGUGCUGAAUUAAUGCCCCAAGCAGGAGUGCAGCUGAAGGCUCACCGUGCCCUACAGAGAAGUGACAACACAGCUGCGGGUGGCAGGAUCCCUCCCUUGGUCUUUGUGCCCUUCAGUGGUGGACGAAGGCUCCAGCGAGGUGUUUGCAGCCUACAGAAGCCAUGAGCACGGUGCCUCUGCCUGUUGGUUCACCAAGCGAAGGCAACAGAGUCAAAGUAGUGGAAGGCCUGUGCACGAUGGGGCUGUGAUACUGGCCUGGGUGAGCAGCUAGCACUAAUUUGAGCAGCCCAAAGGUCACGACUAUUUAUGCAGAUAAAAGGUCAGUGGCAAGCUGGCAGGUGGCUGUGGGCUAUCUUGGUACGCGCUGCGCCCCGGGCGCUGAUGUCUGCGUCUGGUUCACAGUUAGUUUGUCUUUCCACAUGGACUUUCAGGCCAGGUUCUGGCUGAAAUAAAACACAACGGGGAAAGAAAUCUCUGGUCGUGUGAGUUGAUGCUGUUGGGAGACAGCUGCAGUUUUUGUGGCUUGGGCUCAUCUGUAGCUAAAUCAAACCUUUGAAUCAUUAUUUAUAAAAGACAGCCAAAUUCUGAACCGUUUGCUCAGUGUUUAGUCAGCUCUUACAUGGACAAACUCCUGUGAAAGCGUGCGUGAUGGCAGAUAAGGGAAAAACUGAAUCAGGUGCCCUGUUGAGAGGCAGCAUGUCUGGCCAGGAACUCCAGCAGCAGUGGGCGUCUGCACUGCAGGUGCCUGGGAAGAAGUCACCUCAGAGGGGCAGGACCUUACAGCACGGCCUGAAUUGCCAGAGCAGGUUCAGGUUAGCUGAAACAACAUCUAGGUGAGUGAAAAAGGGAAGCAGGUAUACUAUGUUUAGUCCAGUCAGAUUCUAUGCUAUGUUUGAAACUUUUAUAGUCAGUCAGUACCAGUGCCGCAUCCUUUUCUCUCAUUAGAAAGCAAAAAUGUUUUCAACCUUUGGUUCCAGGAGUUGUCUGUCUGCCUAUACCAAUUUUAAACAAAAUCCUUUAAUGUUCUCCUGUAAUUUGGUCCAAUACAGCCUGGUCUCCAAGACAAAAUAUGCAAAAUAUUUUGUGACAUUUCAUUCCCCAAACAAAAGGUAAUGGGAAAACAUCAUUAUAUUGAUUUGUUUUUCAUCACAGAGGUAUUUGGCAGCAUGCCCUAAUUAAGGUUGUAGCAAUAAUUUUAUUAUAAGCACUGCUUUGCCUCCCCUGGUAAUUUUUUAAUAGGAGUUAGCUAUUAGUCUGUUAUUUUGGUUUGCUAAUAAAGAAAAAAAUAUGUUACAAUGGAAACCUCCCAUGUAGAAAGCAACCAAAGCUAGUUGUCUUCAGACCUGGAAAAGCAUUUCUUUUUUUCUGU
ensembl:lncRNA